rnacentral:lncRNA from 1 species
GUUGGAAAGAAACAAUGUAGACAUAAUUCAUCUCUUUAAAGAUUGCGCCCUAGUACUUGAAAUGCUUUUUAGCUAGGAGAAUAGUAAAAAUGGAAGAAGAAAAAGUAAAGGACGAUGAAAACCCAGACCUGGAAAGCUCUGUGGACUUUUCUGAACAGUUUAACCAGCUUGAAUUGUUGGAAACCCACGGACACCUGAUUCCCACUGCUUGCUACAGUGCAGAGACUCCUCUCUGAGAAGGCCGCUGAGGUGAACACCAGAGACGAAGAUGAAUAUACCCCUCUUCACCGCGCAGCCUACAGCGGACAUUUAGAUGUUGUUCGGGAGCUGGUGGCUCAGGGGGCAGAUGUUCAUGCAGUGACCAUAGAUGGCUGGACACCGCUGCACAGUGCUUGUAAGU